UACGGGGGGGGCAAGCGUUGUUCGGAAUUACUGGGCGUAAAGGGCUCGUAGGUGGCCAACUAAGUCAGACGUGAAAUCCCUCAGCUUAACUGGGGAACUGCGUCUGAUACUGGAUGGCUUGAGUUUGGGAGAGGGAUGCGGAAUUCCAGGUGUAGAGGUGAAAUUCGUAGAUAUCGGGAGGAACACCGGUGGCGAAGGCGGCGAUCUGGGUCGAUACUGACGCUGAGGUGCGAAAGCGUGGGGAGCAAACAGG
rnacentral:rRNA from 1 species